GUGGUAAUGCCGGAUGCUCCAGUUGACCGCAUGGUCCUCUGGGAAAGCUUUUGCGGUAUGGGAUGGGGUCGCGUCCUAUCAGCUUGAUGGCGGGGUAACGGCCCACCAUGGCUUCGACGGGUAGCCGGCCUGAGAGGGCGACCGGCCACAUUGGGACUGAGAUACGGCCCAGACUCCUACGGGAGGCAGCAGUGGGGAAUAUUGCACAAUGGGCGCAAGCCUGAUGCAGCGACGCCGCGUGCGGGAUGACGGCCUUCGGGUUGUAAACCGCUUUUGACUGGGAGCAAGCCCUUCGGGGUGAGUGUACCUUUCGAAUAAGCACCGGCUAACUACGUGCCAGCAGCCGCGGUAAUACGUAGGGUGCAAGCGUUAUCCGGAAUUAUUGGGCGUAAAGGGCUCGUAGGCGGUUCGUCGCGUCCGGUGUGAAAGUCCAUCGCUUAACGGUGGAUCCGCGCCGGGUACGGGCGGGCUUGAGUGCGGUAGGGGAGACUGGAAUUCCCGGUGUAACGGUGGAAUGUGUAGAUA
rnacentral:rRNA from 1 species